rnacentral:rRNA from 1 species
GCAAGUCGAGGGGUAACAGGGUGCUUGCACUGCUGACGACCGGCGCACGGGUGCGUAACGCGUAUAGAACCUACCUUUUACUGAGGAAUAGCCUUUAGAAAUGAAGAUUAAUGCCUCAUGGUAUUGUAGACUGGCAUCAGUUUACACUUAAAGAUUUAUUGGUAAAAGAUGGCUAUGCGUCCUAUUAGCUAGAUGGUAAGGUAACGGCUUACCAUGGCAACGAUAGGUAGGGGCGCUGAGAGGGGGAGC